UCUGCCCGAGGCACUACAGCGGCGGCGGCUGUGUCACUUAUGCGUCAGUAGGUGGCAGAGAGGAGAGUGGCUGAGUCUAUGCUCAGUGUUCUGACCUAUGAACAUCUGAAUGAUUCGUAGCCUAACAAU